UUGGAGGGCAAGUCUGGUGCCAGCAGCCGCGGUAAUUCCAGCUCCAAUAGCGUAUAUUAAAGUUGUUGCAGUUAAAAAGCUCGUAGUUGAAUUUCGGGAUUCAUCCGUUGGUCGGGCUUCACGGUCCGUACUGGUGUGAUGGGUUCCUACCUUCUGAAUAACCGGCAUGCCAUUAAUUUGGUGCGCCGGGGAAGCAGAACUAUUACCUUGAAAAAAUUAGAGUGCUUAAAGCAGGCAAGUGCCUGAAUAGGUUAGCAUGGAAUAAUAAAAUAGGACGGCAUGGUUCUAUUUUGUUGGUUUCUAGGAUCACCGUAAUGAUUAAUAGGGAUAGUUGGGGGCAUUAGUAUUCAAUUGUCAGAGGUGAAAUUCUUGGAUUUAUUGAAGACUAACUUCUGCGAAAGCAUUUGCCAAGGAUGUUUUCAUUAAUCAAGAACGAAAGUUAGGGGAUCGAAGACGAUCAGAUACCGUCGUAGUCUUAACCAUAAACUAUGCCGACUAGGGAUCGGACGAUGUUAAUUUUUUAAUGACUCGUUCGGCGCCUUACGGGAAACCAAAGUGUUUGGGUUC
rnacentral:rRNA from 1 species